ensembl:piRNA 21ur-15303 ncRNA
UAGUUCUAUAUCGAAUGACGU